rnacentral:rRNA from 1 species
GUGGGGAAUCUUAGACAAUGGGGGAAACCCUGAUCUAGCCAUGCCGCGUGAGCGAUGAAGGCCUUAGGGUUGUAAAGCUCUUUCAGCUGGGAAGAUAAUGACGGUACCAGCAGAAGAAGCCCCGGCUAACUCCGUGCCAGCAGCCGCGGUAAUACGGAGGGGGCUAGCGUUGUUCGGAAUUACUGGGCGUAAAGCGCACGUAGGCGGAUCAGAAAGUCAGAGGUGAAAUCCCAGGGCUCAACCUUGGAACUGCCUUUGAAACUCCUGGUCUUGAGGUCGAGAGAGGUGAGUGGAACUCCGAGUGUAGAGGUGAAAUUCGUAGAUAUUCGGAAGAACACCAGUGGCGAAGGCGACUCACUGGCCCAAUACUGACGCUGAGGCGCGAAAGCGUGGGGAGCAAACAGGAUUAGAUACCCGGGUAGUCC